ensembl:lncRNA
CAGAAAGGGCCGUAUACUGUUCUGUAUUUUUCUCAUCAGCUCUCCAGGAGCAGAAAAGAGCAGAUCCAGAAACAGCUACUGCCUAUUAACAAAAAAUUAAGAAAGGAAGAUACUGUGGCUGGCAAGCUGCGCAGAGGAAAAGGAUCUGGGGUGGUAGUUGACACUCAGCUAAACAUGAGCCAGCAGUGUACCCAGGUGGCCAAGACAACCAGUGGCAUGCUGCCUUUUAUCAGAAAUAGCACAGCCAGCAGGAGGUGAUCAUCCUCCUGUACUCUCACUCUGGUGAGGCCACACCUCAGGCUCAUCCAUUAUCAGUGUGUCUCACUGCCCAGAGAAAAUAAUAGAUGGAUGAAAAGAAGCUGCCUUGAAUAUAAACCAGGA